rnacentral:piRNA from 1 species
UAUUUAUCCUUCUACCUGCCCUGGGCUCU